rnacentral:lncRNA from 1 species
UACUGAGAUUUUUUUAUUUGCACAAACAAGCUAGGCUCACGAAAUCAAUAGAACAACAAAGAAUCUCUCUUUGAAUCAUAAAGACCGAUAUUUUAUGAAAAGAACACUCUUUGAUAAAAGUUGAAUAACUUCUAUAAACUCUUAGAUGAUUGAGGGGUGGUUUGUAAAAAUGUCGACUUUAUAUAAUGCUCAGAUACAAAGGUCCUAACGUUCUAAAAAGAUAAGAAAGGAAACAAAUCAAAAAUAAAGCAAGAAAUCAAAAAAUAGUCGUGAAACCUUUUGUGGGAUUUUGGCUCCAAGUGAAAAACUUGUACUUUCCUGAACCUAGAUGUUUUUAGGGGACAUUAGAGCUUCCUUGAGAUCUUCCUGGGUGCUUGAUAGGUGCUGAUACGUCCAUAGCUUGAUAGGAAAGGAACUAUUGGACAUUAAUGUCGGUUUGCUCCAUAUAAGGCAAGUUGGUGUAAAUUAGGAUCCUCCUGAUCCUAUGUUAGCUGGAGCAUGCUAUGCACUUGUAGAACUCCUCUUGGUAGUCUAUGAUGUCUUCUGGAAGCCUUGUUUUAGUCAGGACUUCUUCCGGUCGGAGAUGAUUGGCUUGGAAGUGAUUAAACCGAAAGAUUGUCCAAUCUUUUCAUAAAUGGUUACGGGUGGAUUUGAUAACUUCUUCAAGGAUCCGCCUGGUCCUAUGGGUUCUUGUGAAGCUAAGUACUUCUUUGAUGUCUCCUGAUUUGUAAAUAUGAUCUUUUGGUUUCCAUAAAUAGCUCUGAGUCGGAACCAUUGAAGACUUUCCAUAGAUGAUGUCAGUUUGGCCGGUUCUGGAAAAUUGAUCAUAACCUCUGAUUUCCUUGACCAAUUCUCCUUAUUUUGAGCUUUAUGGAAAUCUUAUAAAUCCCUAUUGUAGCCCAUGAUUG